rnacentral:rRNA from 1 species
UACGUGGGGGGCGAGCGUUGUUCGGAAUUAUUGGGCGUAAAGGGCGCGUAGGCGGUGUGGUAAGUCUGAUGUGAAACCUCCAGGCUCAACUUGGAGCUUGCAUCAGAAACUGCCGUGCUAGAGUGUGGGAGAGGAGAGUGGAAUUCCUGGUGUAGCGGUGAAAUGCGCAGAUAUCAGGAGGAACACCGGUGGCGAAGGCGGGUCUCUGGGAAACAACUGACGCUGAGGAGCGAAAGCGUGGGGAGCGAACAGG